CGCAGGCUUAACAAGCAAAGAACCAUAAUGCCAUUUAUAAAUAACACAUCUUCUGACCCUAAACACUCGUACUUUCUUAGUCUUUUAUGCAUUGAAUCUUUUUGGAGCCCUCGGGAAAAUAAAAUAACUCCAAAUCCCUUUCGUCCUUUCACAUAGUUCAGUUUACAGCACAAGAAUGGCCUCCGAGCAGAUGAAACCUGUUGCCUUGCUGCUUUUAGUCUUAAAUCUUAUCAUGUAUAUCAUCGUUUUAGGCAUUGGCGGUUGGGCUAUGAAUAGAGCCAUUGAUUAUGGCUUCAUCAUCGGACCUGGUUAUGACCUUCCAGCACAUUUCUCACCCAUUUUCUUCCCGAUGGGAAAUGCUGCCACUGGGUUCUUCGUGACAUUCUCUUUGAUUGCCGGAGUUGUUGGUGUUGCCUCGGCAAUUGUUGGUCUUAAUCACAUUCGCUCUUGGCACAGAGAUAGCAUGCCAUCCGCCGCCUCCGCUGCUGCCAUUGCUUGGGCUCUCACUCUUCUAGCCAUGGGCUUUGCCAGCAAAGAAAUUGAGCUAUCUAUCAGGAACGCCCGUCUGAGAACCAUGGAAGCAUUUAUUAUCAUACUUUCUGCUACGCAGCUUCUAUACAUAGCAGCCAUCCAUGGCGCCUCAUCAAGUGGAAGAGCUUGAAAGAAUUCAUAGUCCCAUUAAUUUAUGCAUGCUUGGUGUGUUUUCAAUGUUUUUUUUUUUUUUAAUUUCCCAGCUCUUUGGGGCUGUAAGCAGAUUGAUGUUUUUCCGUGUGAUUUGAUUGGAUUUUUAUGAACAAAUAACGAAGGAAAUGGUGUAUUGAUGAUU